rnacentral:antisense_RNA from 2 species
UGCCGUACGACAUUGCUCACAUUGCUUCCAGUAUUGUUUGCCCGUCCUCUGGACGGGCUUUUUUU